rnacentral:rRNA from 1 species
CCCUUAGACGUUCUGGGCCGCACGCGCGCUACACUGAGCAGUGCAACAAGCAUCCGUCCUUGGCCGACAGGCCCGGGCAAUCUUUGAACGCUGGUCGUGAUGGGGAUAGACUUUUGCAAUUUUUGGUCUUCAACGAGGAAUUCCUAGUAAACGCAAGUCAUCAACUUGCAUUGAUUACGUCCCUGCCCUUUGUACACACCGCCCGUCGCACCUACCGAUUGAAUGGUCCGGUGAAGCCUCCGGAUUGGCGCGCACCUCGGUGCCGCCGAGAAGUUGGCUAAACCUUACCAUUUAGAGGAAGGUGAAGUCGUAACA